rnacentral:sRNA from 1 species
GCUGGGCGUGGUGGCGCGUGCCUGUAAUCCCAGUGACUCGGGAGGCUGAGACAGGACAAUCACAAGUUCAAAGCUAGCCUUAGCAAAAGCGAGGUGCAAGCAACUCAGGGAGACCCUGUCUCUA